AAUGGCUCAUUAAAUCAGUUAUGGUUCCUUGGAUCCUACUUAUCCUACAUGGAUAACUGUGGUAAUUCUAGAGCUAAUACAUGCAACUCGAGCCUGGCCCGGAAACGGGUGAGGCGCACUUAUUAGAUCAAAACUAAUCGGUCGGGCUUCACGGCCCGGCCGUUACUUUGGUGACUCUGAAUAAACCACUGCUGAUCGCACGGCCCUCGCGCCGGCGACGUGUCUUUCGAAUGUCUGCCUUAUCAACUGUCGAUGGUAGGUUCUGCGCUUACCAUGGUUGUAACGGGUAACGGGGAAUCAGGGUUCGAUUCCGGAGAGGGAGCCUGAGAAACGGCUACCACAUCCAAGGAAGGCAGCAGGCGCGCAAAUUACCCACUCCCGGCACGGGGAGGUAGUGACGAAAAAUAACGAUACGGGACUCAUCCGAGGCCCCGUAAUCGGAAUGAGAACACUUUAAAUCUUUUAACGAGUACCUAAUGGAGGGCAAGUCUGGUGCCAGCAGCCGCGRUNAUUCCAGCUCCAUUGGCGUAUAUUAAAGUUGUUGCGGUUGCGGCGUUUAACUGACCGGUCCGGACGUCCUGCCGGUGGGCUUCCGGCCCUUCGCGGGGCCGGUCGCCCGUUAACCUUCCCUCCGGGCUGCUCUUAACCGAGUGGCGCGGUGGGCCGGCACGUUUACUUUGAACAAAUUUGAGUGCUCAAAGCAGGCCUCGAGUCGCCUGAAAAUUGUGUGCAUGGAAUAAUGGAAUANGGCCUCUUCUCUAUUUUGUUGGCUUUUCUGAGAUAGAGGUAAUGAUUAAUAGGGACAGACGGGGGCAUUCGUAUUGCGACGUUAGAGGUGAAAUUCUUGGAUCGUCGCAAGACGGACGGAUGCGAAAGCGUUUGCCAAGAAUGUUUUCGCUAAUCAAGAACGAAAGUUAGAGGUUCGAAGGCGAUCARAUACCGCCCUAGUUCUAACCAUAAACGAUGCCAGCCAGCGAUGCGCCGACGUUCCUCCGAUGACUCGGCGCGCAGCUUCCGGGAAACCAAAGCUUUUGGGUUCCGGGGGAAGUAUUGGUUGCAAAGCUGAAACUUAAAGGGAAUUGACGGAAGGGCACCCACCAGGAGUGGAGCCUGCGGCUUAAUUUGACUCAACAACGGGAAACCUCACCAGGCCCGGACAUUGGAAGGAUUGACAGAUUGAGAGCUCUUUCUUGAUUCGAUGGGUGGUGGUGCAUGGCCGUUCUUAGUUGGUGGAGCGAUUUGUCUGGUUAAUUCCGAUAACGAACGAGACUCUAACCUGCUAACUAGGCGCCGGGAUCUUCGGCUCCCGGCGUCGUAAUCUUCUUAGAGGGACAGGCGGCUUCUAGCCGCACGAGAUUGAGCAAUAACAGGUCUGUGAUGCCCUUAGAUGUUCUGGGCCGCACGCGCGCUACACUGAAGGAAUCAGCGUGUGUUCCCUGGCCGAAAGGUCCGGGUAACCCGCUGAACCUCCUUCGUGCUUGGGAUCGGCCUUUGUAAUUAUCGGCCGUGAACGAGGAAUUCCCAGUAAGCGCGAGUCAUAAGCUCGCGUUGAUUACGUCCCUGCCCUUUGUACACACCGCCCGUCGCUACUACCGAAAAAAAUGAUUUAGU
rnacentral:rRNA from 1 species